GCAAAUUUUGGCUCAGUUGGUAGAGCAUGAGACUCUUAAUCUCAGGGUCAUGCGUUGAAGCCCCCUAAUGGGCG